GGCGAGAUGGCCGAGCGGUCUAAGGCGCUAGUUUCAGGUACUAGUCAGAAAUGGCGUGGGUUCGAAUCCCACUCUCGUCA
rnacentral:tRNA from 2 species